rnacentral:misc_RNA from 1 species
UUUCCGUAGGUGAACCUGCGGAAGGAUCAUUAACGAAUAUCUAUGGCGUUGGCUGUAGCUGGCUCCUAGGAGCACUGUGCACGCCCGUCAUUCAUAUCAUCUUUCCACCUGUGAACCAUGUGUAGGCCUGGAUACCCCUCGCUUUGGCAACAAAGCGGAUGCAAGGAUUGCUGCGUCGACAAGGCCGGCUCUCUUUGAAUUUCCAGGUUCUAUGUCCUUUACACACCCCAUUUGAAUGAUUUAGAAUGUGGUCAAUGGGCUUUCAUGCCUAUAAAAAACUAUACAACUUUCAGCAACGGAUCUCUUGGCUCUC